rnacentral:rRNA from 1 species
AUUGAACGCUGGCGGCAGGCCUAACACAUGCAAGUCGAACGGUAACAGGAAGAAUCUUGCUUCUUUGCUGACGAGUGGCGGACGGGUGAGUAAUGUCUGGGAAACUGCCUGAUGGAGGGGGAUAACUACUGGAAACGGUAGCUAAUACCGCAUAACUUCGCAAGACCAAAGAGGGGGACCUUCGGGCCUCUUGCCAUCGGAUGUGCCCAGAUGGGAUUAGCUAGUAGGUGGGGUAACGGCUCACCUAGGCGACGAUCCCUAGCUGGUCUGAGAGGAUGACCAGCAACACUGGAACUGAGACACGGUCCAGACUCCUACGGGAGGCAGAGGUGGGGAAUAUUGAACAAUGGGAGCAAGCCUGAUGAAGCCAUGCCGCGUGUAUGAAGAAGGCCUUCGGGUUGUAAAGUACUUUAAGCGGGGAGGAAGGGAGUAAAGUUAAUACCUUGGCUCAUUGACGUUACCCGCAGAAGAAGCACCGGCUAACUCCGUG